rnacentral:rRNA from 1 species
AUUGAACGCUGGCGGCAUGCCUUACACAUGCAAGUCGAACGGUAACGCGGGGCAACCUGGCGACGAGUGGCGAACGGGUGAGUAACGCAUCGGAACGUGCCCAGUAGUGGGGGAUAGCCCGGCGAAAGCCGGAUUAAUACCGCAUACGAACUACGGGUGAAAGCGGGGGAUCGCAAGAACCCGCGCUAUUGGAGCGGGCGAUGUCGGAUUAGGUUGUUGGUGGGGUAAAGGCCUACCAAGCCUGCGAUCUGUAGCUGGUCUGAGAGGGCGACCAGCCACACUGGGACUGAGACACGGCACAGACUCCUACGGGAGGCAGCAGUGGGGAAUUUUGGACAAUGGGCGAAAGCCUGAUCCAGCAAUGCCGCGUGCAGGAUGAAGGCCUUCGGGUUGUAAACUGCUUUUGUACGGAACGAAAAGCCCUGGGUUAAUACCCUUGGGUCAUGACGGUACCGUAAGAAUAAGCACCGGCUAACUACGUGCCAGCAGCCGCCGUAAUAC